rnacentral:rRNA from 1 species
GAUGAACGCUAGCGGCAGGCCUAACACAUGCAAGUCGAACGGUAACAUGACAGUGCUUGCACAGUUGAUGACGAGUGGCGCACGGGUGCGUAACGCGUAUACAAUCUACCUUUUACAGGGGGAUAGCCUUUAGAAAUGAAGAAUAAUACCCCAUAGUAAGUAAUUUUCGCAUGGAAGAUACUUUAAAGAUUCGUCGGUAAAAGAUGAGUAUGCGUUCUAUUAGCUAGAUGGUAAGGUAACGGCUUACCAUGGCAACGAUAGAUAGGGGCCCUGAGAGGGGGAUCCCCCACACUGGUACUAAGACACGGACCAG